rnacentral:rRNA from 1 species
CCAAUAGCGUAUAUUAAAGUUGUUGCAGUUAAAAAGCUCGUAGUUGAACCUCGGGGCCUACCCAUUGGUCAGGCUUAAUUUUCUGCACUGGUGAGAUGGAUCUCUACCUUCUGAGGAACUUUCAUGCCAUUUAUUUGGUGUGAUGGGAAAUCCGGACUGUUACUUUGAAAAAAUUAGAGUGUUUAAAGCAGGCUAACGUCUGAAUACAUUAGCAUGGAAUAAUGAAAUAGGAAGGACUGAUUCUAUUUCGUUGGUUUCUAGGAUCACCGUAAUGAUUAAUAGGGAUAGUUGGGGGCAUUAGUAUUCAAUUGUCAGAGGUGAAAUUCUUGGAUUUAUUGAAGACUAACUACUGCGAAAGCAUUUGCCAAGGAUGUUUUCAUUAAUCAAGAACGAAAGUUAGGGGAUCGAAGACGAUCAGAUACCGUCGUAGUCUUAACCAUAAACUAUGCCGACUAGGGAUCGGACGAAGUUAAUUUUAUAAUGACGCGUUCGGCACCUUACG